UAGGGAAUCUUCCGCAAUGGACGAAAGUCUGACGGAGCAACGCCGCGUGAGUGAAGAAGGAUUUCGGUUCGUAAAACUCCGUUGUUAGGGAAGAAAAAAUGUAUAGUAACUAUAUACAAAAGAGACGGUACCUAACCAGAAAGCCACGGCUAACUACGUGCCAGCAGCCGCGGUAAUACGUAGGUGGCAAGCGUUGUCCGGAAUUAUUGGGCGUAAAGCGCGCGCAGGUGGUUUAGAAAGUCUGAUGUGAAAGCCCACGGCUCAACCGUGGAGGGUCAUUGGAAACUAAUAAACUUGAGUGCAGGAGAGAAAAGUGGAAUUCCUGGUGUAGCGGUGAAAUGCGUAGAGAUUAGGAGGAACACCGGUGGCGAGGGCGGCUUUUUGGCCUGCAACUGACACUGAGGCGCGAAAGCGUGGUGAGCAAACAGG
rnacentral:rRNA from 1 species